GAAAUGCGAUAAGUAGUGUGAAUUGCAGAAUUCAGUGAAUCAUCGAAUCUUUGAACGCACAUUGCGCCCCUUGGUAUUCCAUGGGGCAUGCCUGUUCGAGCGUCAUUUGUACCCUCAAGCUCUGCUUGGUGUUGGGUGUUUGUCCCCGUCUCCGCGCGUGGACUCGCCCCAAAGUGAUUGGCAGCCGGCGUACUGGUCCCGGAGCGCAGCACAUGUCGCGCAAACGAGUGCCUUGGUACGGCGGCGUCCAUAAGCCCCUCUCUCACGCUCUUCACCUCGGAUCAGGUAGGGAUACCCGCUGAACUUAAGC
rnacentral:misc_RNA from 1 species